rnacentral:lncRNA from 1 species
ACUGUUUCGUUCGGUUUACUCAUGGCAAGGGUAAAGUCUCCUCGCGGACAAUUCUUAAUACCGCGAUAAAUAUUCGAGAGUGUUGGUAAGAACCACGGAGAUACGAGUACGUAGCCAGCCGUACGCGUACGUAAGCAGACGACAGAUCGCGUUUCUCCGUAUACGACCAUGACACUAAAUUACAGACUUAUACAGUGGUUGUCAAUCUGCAUUUACAAGUAAGAUCGUACCAUAUACGCGCGACGCGACGCAAUUAAUCAUCUUUUUCGUGUACUUGAGAAACCAGACUGCCCAGACCCAAUUCAAAGCGUCAUUGUCAUGCCGAGUGAAAAGGGAGCCCAGAAUUAGGACACUUGAUGCAAACACGGUCUUCAAAGGAAAUGCUACUCUUAUAUAUGAGGAAAUCGGAUCAUGUGUAGAGCCCCUGUAUAGCGGCAACCGUUAUUACACCGCUGUCGGCUGUAUGGUAGCAUCAUUAGCGUUGUUUUUGUACGAAUCAAAUUUCAAGAAACUAGAAGACUGUAGAAAUUGCGCUUUCUGGAAGACAGAUCAAAGACGACCCACGUCCGAUUUCAUGUACCAUGCACAAAGGCAUCUGUAUUACAUCGGAUCAAAGGGAGAAAAGAAUUUACUUUACGUUCUUCGCUUAACGUACGAUCUUUCUUCUAUUUUACAUACGAGUUAAACAGUUGAAAUGUUCUAAGAUAAA